rnacentral:tRNA from 1 species
UAAGACCUGUGUAACACUAAUACACAUCAAUUGAAUGCAAAUCAAACACUUUAAUUAAGCUAAGGCCUC